rnacentral:misc_RNA from 1 species
AACGAGGCCGACCUGCGGCUGAGUUACCUGCGGAAGGAUCAUUACAGAGUUGCAAAACUCCCUAAACCAUUGUGAACGUUACCUAAACCGUUGCUUCGGCGGGCGGCCCGGGUCCUUCCCGGCGCCCCUCGGCCCUCGCGGGCGCCCGCCGGAGGUAAACCAAACUAUUGCAUUGUAUGGCCUCUCUGAGUCUUCUGUACUGAAUAAGUCAAAACUUUUAACAAUGGAUCUCAGAUCGGA